rnacentral:rRNA from 1 species
CAGUCGCCGCGGUAAUACAGAGGAUGCAAGCGUUAUCCGGAAUGAUUGGGCGUAAAGCGUCUGUAGGUGGCUUUUCAAGUCUGAUGUGAAAGCCCCCGGCUCAACCGGGGAGGGUCAUUGGAAACUGGGAAACUUGAGUGCAGAAGAGGAGAGUGGAAUUCCACGUGUAGCGGUGAAAUGCGUAGAGAUGUGGAGGAACACCAGUGGCGAAGGCGACUCUCUGGUCUGUAACUGACGCUGAGGAGCGAAAGCGUGGGGAGCGAACAGGAUUAGAUACCCCCGUAGUCCCUGUCUCUUAUAC